AUGGGACAGAUUGUAACGUUGUGAACAUUGGUGCAGUUGGAGACUCUGGUUGUACAUAGCUGGAAUAUUCAAGAUUCUUAGUUGAAACAAUGGCAUGGACGUUGUAGAGAUGGUAGACUGGAGCAGACUUCUCUUAGAUGUGUUUAAACUGGAGAGGAGAUAUUAUGUAUGACUAAGAUUUGACAGCAGAGACCUUUCUUUCAGAGAAAUCAUGGUUGAAACAACGGCAUGGAUCUUGUUGAAAUGGUAGACAGGAAAAGACUUGUCAUGAUUUGGAAAUUGCAUCUCCUAAACUCAUUUGCAUUUGGAGAUAUUAUUUCAUUGAUCAGUUAUGUCUCUUAGGUGAAGACGAAAACGAUCCUCCAACAGCUUCUAUUUUUCCUUCCUCUUGGUGGAAGCUCGGACAUUGGUCUUUUAGUUUAUUUCUACUCUUAGCAGCUUUUGUACCUGUUUUAGACUGGUAUCCAUAGUUUUUUUUAUGUGUUAUUCUUAUACAAGUGUAUUACUUCAGAUUUUUUAUAAACUUUUGGUUUAAUUACUCCUACUUAAGUCAUAGAGUAGGUGUCCGCAUGACCUGGUGGGUUGGAUAGUGAAAGAAACAAUAAAUCGUUCAAACA